rnacentral:rRNA from 1 species
AUUGAACGCUGGCGGCAGGCCUAACACAUGCAAGUCGAACGAGUGGCGGACGGGUGAGACAUGUCUGGGAACCUGCCUGAUGGCGGGGGAUAACUACUGAAAACGGUAGCUAUUACCGCAUACCAUCGGCUUUGCCCUGAAGGGAUUCGCUAGUAGGUGGGGUAAAGGCUCACCUAGGCACCGAUCCCUGACGGGUCUGAGAGGGUGACCAGCCACACUGUAACUGAGACACGGUCCAGACUCCUACGGGAGGCAGCAGUAGGGAAUAUUGCGCAAUGGGCGCAAGCCUGAUAGAGCCAUGCCGCGUGAAUGAAGAAGGCCUUCGGGUUGUAAAGUACUGUCAGCAGGGAAGCGUUACCCAAAGAGGAAGCACCGGCUAACUCCGUGCCAGCCGCCGCGGUAAUAC